GUGGAGGGAGAGUUUAGAAAAGAGUAAAGAAGGUCAAAACCCUGGGGGGGGGGGGGAAUAACCCAAAGUGUUAAGAAAAACUAGCUUAGAAAGCUGAUGAAACUUUCAUUGUUAUAGUGAGAGCCAAUAUGGGGUUAGGAAUAAACCUUGUGCUAGGGAAUCUACAAAGGUGAUCCCAGCUAAGACUCCUAGUAAUAGUGGAGAGGGUGCCUGAAUUGGCCUUCCCCUGUAAUCAGAUUGGUUAAUACCCUAAUUGUCAUCAGGGAGUCUUCUUCAGUAACUGAGGGAAGCAGAUACAGAGAUCCACAGCACCAGGUUGAGUGAGCUCUGGGAGUCAAGUCAAAGGAGGAGGGAUGUAGGAGCAAGGGGUAGGGGGUGUCAAGAUUAUGAUGGAGACAUCCACAGAGACAGCGAACCUGAACUUGUGGGAACUCAUGGACUCUAGACCGACAGCUGAGGAGUCUGGCAUUCUGCAUUGGUGCACGUAGGGGUCAGAGGACAACAUACAGGAGUUGGUUCUCCAUUACUGUGAUUCUCAGGGUCUGAUGUAAUCCAGGCUGCCUUGGAACUUUCUCUGGAGCCGACAAUGGCUUUGAUCUUGCUGCUUCCACUUCCCAAGUGUCAGGACUGCAGGCAGGUACCACUAUACCUGGUCAUUUCUGCUUCUCUUACAAAGUAGAAGUGUGGUAUGCAUGCAAACUGAGGGAAGAGCCUACUACACAGUCUAAGCCCUACUCCAUUUAUACUGACUGAUAAGCUAUUGCAAAACCCUGGCUUCAGAUUUCAUGGUGAGGCCUCAAUUUUAAAGUAUCAGAAGUUUACCUUGAGGCAACAGGAUGUCUAACCCACAGAUAGUCCUGAGAUCAACCACAAGAACUUGAACAAUUUCAAAAAGGAGUAAACAACUUCUAGUUCAAGAGGGUUAUAAGCCAACCUGCAGAGUGCAAGAAAUGUUUUAAACCUAUCAACCGAGAGGCAGAGAAUGAUGUUGAAAAGAGUGGGCAGGAUAGAUGAAAAAGGCCUGUGUAGCCUGGUAUGGUGGUGCGCAUCUUAAAUCCCGUCACUUGGGAGAUGGAGGCAAGAGCAUAUGUGAGUCCAGGCCGGCCUAAUCUGUAUAGUGAGACUGUCUCAAAAAUAAACCAGUGAGAUGGAACCACAGGUUUUGUUCGGAGAUCUUUUGCAUGUGUACUGUUAGUUACUAAACAUUUCUUGCUUUAUCUCUGUUUGUGUCCUGCUGAAUUAGUUUGAAUUAUUCUUGUCAGUCAACGGUAGAAUAACUUCAAAGCUCUGUAACAUUUUUCAUCUACCUUUAAAGGAUUAUGCUUAUGAGAUUAUACUCAGGCUGGGAAAGAUCUGCAAGAGCGGCAGCAUUAAUUGCUGAGCCAAUUCUCUUGACUUUUCAAAGCCGGCUGUGCUGUACCCUGAUGUGGUGAUGUUUUGUUUGUGCUCUAACAAAAAAAGCUUGCCUGAAGAUCAGAGGGUGGAGCUAUGUAGUAGUUAACCAUAAAGGCCGAACAGUGGUGGCACAUGCUUUUAGUCCCAGCACUUGGGAGGCAGAGGCAGGCAGAUCUCUGUGACUUCAAGGUCAGUCUGGUCGACAAAGCGAGUUCCAAGACAUCUAGAACUGUUACACAGAGGAAAUUUGAUGUAGCACAAAUUCUAAUUGGUCUUAAUAAUAAAAAUUCAGAGUCAGAUAUUUGGGGUAAAAGCCGAAAGAUCAGAGAAGUAAAGCAGUCAGCUUUUAAAGUUCUUACUUCUAUGAAAUGCUCAUACCGACAAAAGUUGAGCUCCUGUCUCCUCCUGCCUUAUAUUCCUCUCUCCACACAGCCAUUAUCACUUCCUGUCUCCACCUUCCUAGUCCUGGAAUUACAAUCAUGA